rnacentral:misc_RNA from 1 species
AUGAAAAUUAUUUUGGUUAUGGAUUUUUCUUUGAACGGGCAAGCAACAGCUAAGUUAGUCACUGGUAUCUAGAAAGAUAAAAAGAUUUUUAGUGUGAACAGAAUUGAAUUAGGUUAUUUACGCUUUAUAAUGAAACAUUAAAAUUAAUAAUGGACUACUCCUUGUAGUAGCUAUUGUCAGUUUUAUAGUUUUAGUUUAAAAGUCCUUUCCUUUCCUUUUUUUUAGUUUUAAACUUCCUUUUUGUUUAAUA